AGCAGCCGCGGUAAUUCCAGCUCCAAUAGCGUAUAUUAAAGUUGUUGCAGUUAAAAAGCUCGUAGUUGAACUUCGGGGUCUACCCAUUGGUCAGGCUUAAUUGUCUGCACUGGUGAGAUGGAUCUCUACCUUCUGAGGAACUUUCAUGCCAUUUAUUUGGUGUGAUGGGAAAUCAGGACUGUUACUUUGAAAAAUUAGAGUGUUUAAAGCAGACUAUCGUCUGAAUACAUUAGCAUGGAAUAAUGAAAUAGGACGGACUGAUUCUAUUUCGUUGGUUUCUAGGAUCACCGUAAUGAUUAAUAGGGAUAGUUGGGGGCAUUAGUAUUCAAUUGUCAGAGGUGAAAUUCUUGGAUUUAUUGAAGACUAACUACUGCGAAAGCAUUUGCCAAGGAUGUUUUCAUUAAUCAAGAACGAAAGUUAGGGGAUCGAAGACGAUCAGAUACCGUCGUAGUCUUAACCAUAAACUAUGCCGACUAGGGAUCGGACGAAGUUAAUUUUANAAAUGACGCGUUC
rnacentral:rRNA from 1 species